GUGGUUGCCUGCUUCCUAGGAGCUAACUAGUCUGGUCUAUACAUCUCAUUUCUCCUUUGCUUUUGCAAUAUGAAAAAGACAGGACCUUAGCGUUCCUGCCUGGGUGUUCUGCAGCAUUAGUUACAUGAGUCUGUUCAACAGGUCAGUUGGCACAGUGGUCAAGCUCCACCUCUACCCGGACAGAAGAAAUGACCGUGAACCGCGUGUGGUGACCCGGGCAGUGUUUAUUCUGGAAAUCAAAUGCUUACACCCACCUGGUUGAUCUGAUAGCCCGUGGAGACCUGUGUUCUGAGACCCAGUGGGAAUCUAUGCUGAGGAAGAAGGGACGAGUGUGCUUUGGGGUUGUCUGGAAAAGGACCUCCCAGUACAGCGGCUGUAGGCGCAAUCCCACGACACCUCUGUUCAACUGGAACCUACCUGGAUAAGUCACUGCCUAACCCCAGAGCCAAGGUACCCUUGUCUGUGAAGCAGAGUGCUCUUACCUGCUUACAGGGAGCUUACGAGGGUCAAAGGGGCCCUGUAUGUGAAGCACUGACUUCAUGGUCCAGACUUUGGAGGCCCUCAGUGAAAGCUCGCUCUGGUGGUCCUCGCGGCUUCCUCUUCUAUACUGACAGCCGUACUGUGGAGCAUGAAGCCAGCCUAAGUGGCUCAUGAUCCAUUGAUGAGAUCUGUGUGACUGAAGAUAACCAAGCAAAGAGUUCCGCGCUGCCGUGUGUGAUCAGCAGUGGAUGCUCUGGGAAUACACAGACACCUGGAGGACACCUGAGCUCCAGGGCCCCUGGUGCUGAAGGAACAGCAGCCGCGUCUCCGGAGGGCAUUGUUAGAAACCUACAUCCGGGCCUGUUCUUCAGGUGUCGUCAGACUCAGGACGGAAUCCUGCCAUCAGUCACCCGUCCCUCCACAAACAAGACGAGCCUCUCCUAGAAGCCCUCCUGACUGGCGAGCCUUCUAGACAUGGAAAGCAGUGACCUGGGUAGUACUUGAGACCGGCUGUCCUUGUGCCUGUGCUAGCAGAGAUUUGGAUCCUGGACGCUAGCAAGGGCCUGCUAGGUCACUGCCUCACCCUAGAUGCCUGGCCCAGUGUUUUGUCAGACAGAAGCUGGGUGAGGCCCCCUGACUGGGUUGGUAGGGAAGCAGAAUUCAAUUACUAGCCUGGAAGGCCUUGGUGAGUAUUAGAUUAUCAGAAUUGUCUGCUGGGCCUUCGCCCUCGGGGCUCUGCAGGCUGGAACGGAAGGUAAAUCUAGUUGCUGUGUCAUCCUCCCAGGUCCCAGGGGCUGGGUACAACCCAACAGUUUCCUCUCCAAACUGGUGAGAGGUGGAGGCUCUGCUGGGCCCGGCCUUCUCUGGGGCCAGGGGGUGAAGGAUAUUGCCAUAGUUUACAUGGAGGAAGGAACUGGAUUGAUAGUUAAGAAAAGCUAUAGGGGACCCACUUACUGUGGCCCAUGGCCUGCCCAGGAUAUCCCAGAGACACUAAGCUGGAAGUCCGGAUGAGGAGUUGGGUGAAGAGUAUGAAAUGGGAUUUUGCACAGUAAAAAUCCAGGCUUAUAACCAAGGCUCGGCCACUACGUGCUGCUGAGUAAGUGUUGCUGAGCAACAUGGGGAUCAGAACCUCUGGGCAUCUGUCCACCCCUUAGCCAGCACGGGUGACAGUGGCAACUGAUGCCAACUGACUAGAGCUUUAGUUACCUGUGACACAAUGGUGAGUGAACCAGGAGCCUAGCCCCGGUAGCUUGGAUCUGGCCUAAGUGACAGACUGCUGUGGCGCUGGUCUGGUUGUGGGAUGAGGCCGCUGGCUCAUCCUGAAUGGGGGUGGGGGGAGGCGUGGCAGUGCUGGGAGGGAGGGUCGGAGAGAAGAGGAGGGACGAGGCAGCCAGAGGGAGCAAAAUGUCCUGGUUUUCCAAACGAGAAGGAUCCAGCUUUUGGCACAUAAGCUUAGUGCCACUCAACAGCACUCUGGAAUUAUUAAACAGAUGGCCUGUGAGCUCGCUACAGAGAACAUGCUUGUUCCAGAAUAGCUCAUUAAGUCAUGGCGAGACAUACCCAGUGAGUUUUGUUACUCAAGGACCACCCCCUCCACACACACACACACACACACACACACACACACUUUUCAACAUAUUUAUGGCCAGCCAGGAAAAGCAAAGGUUCUUUGGCAAGCCACUGAGCGUAGUUUUCCAGGCUGCCUGUGCACACAUGAGACAGAGGUGAGCAGGGGAGAUUGCCACUGUAACUGUGGGCUUUGGAGCGUGGGUCCAGUUACUAAAGUCAGAGGAGAGCAGUGGACAGGAACAUUACAGUGAGUGCAGCAGGGGCUCUGUUCAUAGGAGAUGCAUUUGAAACUGGGACCCCUGUGACUGUAUAGGACCAAGUCCUAAAUGUUUCUUCUUGUAUCCAUAUGCUUAUGGUAGAGAUUCUCUCUCUCUCUCUCUCUCUCUCUCUCUCUCUCUCUCUCUCUCUCUCUCUUUCUCUGUCUCUGUCUCUCUCUCUCUGAUGCAAGGACUUGAAACCAGGGCCUUCAGGGUCUUGUGCACACUAAGCAGUACCCACCCCAGCCGCAUGAUAAAGUUUAAUUUAUAAAUUAGGCACAGUAAGAGAGUAACAAGAAUCCGAAUGAUGAAAUGGAAAAGAAACAACUGUGCACUCUGUGACAAGGGAACCACUUAUCAUUCAUGAAUUAUGUUUGGAUAUUUCCGUUAAAUAUUUUAGACUGAGAUCAGGUACAGGUUGAGGCCUCAAGUUAGCAGUGACUAUGGUCAUCAGGGGUACUUAUGAAUUUAGCUGUUUAAUACAGGUGUGGUGGCACCUAUCAGUAAUCCCACCACUCGGGAGGCUGAUAUGGGAGAAUUAUGAGUUCAAGGUCGACCUGGGCUACAAAAUAGGACCCUGACUCAGAAAAAACGUUUUAAAGUGUUUAAGAGCAAAUAUAAUAGUACAAUGGGGAAAACAUUGUACAUUAUUAUUUAUUAAAUGAUGGAAGUAGUAUAAGCUUGUGGGCCACAUUUGGGAAGUAAAGAUCACAAAACUGUAACCAAGAGACACCUGCCUUUCUUCCUCGGUGGAAACAGAUUGAUACAGUGUGGCCAAAUGCAAUAGCCCUGAGGGCAGAUCAGAUGACAUUUGAAAUGUGAGGCGUCCAGAGUUGGUAAACCUAGAAAAGAACUGAGAGUCACGGAGGCAUUGGCAGGUUGGCAGGGAGAGGCCUUAGGGCCCCCCACACCUGCCCCAUUCAGAAAGACAGAACUAGUAGGCAGGCUCCCAGGAGUGUCUAA